UCAAAAAAUAAUUCACUCAUACCCCCCUGUGUAAACAAAGUCAAGGCAUUGAGGCCCCUGAGAGCAAAUCGUGUCUCUCACGCGCUGCUACUGCGAUUUUUCCUUAAUUUUCAAUUGUGAAAUGUCAAAAAUGUCCCCAUCUCCCUCCCUGUUCUUCAUUCUCCAUCGUCCCCAACAUUUACCAUUCUGCAUUCUCCAUCAUCCCAACAUGUAGCAGUAUCCACGGCCGCAAGAUGAAGAUAGUGUAACAAAACUCCAUCUUGACGGUCGCGAAAUUACUCCGCUACACCUCCUUUAUGGGCCUCCAUUUUCGCCGCCCCAGUCGUCAUAAUUUUCGUCCCUCCGCCGCCCAGUACCUCCACCGCGAAAUGAGCUGCCCUCAAUCGGGAGAAGCGAGUCCAAACCUCGGCCCAUCCCCUCUCCAAUUCUCCCUUCUAUUUUCACAACAACAUCGCCGGACCCGCCGCCAUUUUUAGACCUGCAAAAACGCAUUCCAUAGCCAUCUACAGACCCUUCAUCGUAAAUCGACAAAAUCGAUCAAGCCCCGAGCUUAUACACCGCCACCAAAAAAUUCCGAGCUUGAAGAAGCCUAAACAAUUGAUGGAUGUGGUGGUGCGUGGUGGGCGGCGGCGGUGAAUGAUAAGUAUGAUUGGAAAUUGAGAGGAAGGUGAAGAAUUGGGCUGCCGCUGGUAAAAAUGGUAGAAAAUUGGGAGAUGGAUUUUGGAAAAUUUCAAUUUAGUCCCCAAAUUUAAGUUUUAGAAGUUUUACAAAAUUCCAAUUUGGCCUCUUAAAUUAUUAUAAUUUUAUGUUAUUCCACUUAGGGGUAUACUUGUCUUUUUACCUUCAGUCAACCAUUAAAAUGAUAAUGGGUGAUGUGAGCUUCGAAAAAUAUUACAUAGGGGGGUAUGAGCGAAUUUUUUUUUGACAGGGGGGUAUUUGACAAUUAGAGAUUUCACAGGGGUGGUAUUUGCAAUUUAC
rnacentral:lncRNA from 1 species